CACGUAGGGCGCAAGCGUUGUCCGGAAUUAUUGGGCGUAAAGAGCUCGUAGGCGGUCUGUUGCGUCCGCUGUGAAAACUCGGGGCUUAACCCCGAGCCUGCAGUGGAUACGGGCAGACUAGAGGUAGGUAGGGGAGAAUGGAAUUCCCGGUGUAGCGGUGAAAUGCGCAGAUAUCGGGAGGAACACCGGUGGCGAAGGCGGUUCUCUGGGCCGUACCUGACGCUGAGGAGCGAAAGCGUGGGGAGCGAACAGG
rnacentral:rRNA from 1 species